GUAAGGAAUAUUGGUCAAUGGAGGCAACUCUGAACCAGCCAUGCCGCGUGCAGGAAGACGGCCCUCUGGGUUGUAAACUGCUUUUAUCCGGGAAUAAACCUGCCUUCGUGAAGGUAGCUGAAUGUACCGGAAGAAUAAGGAUCGGCUAACUCCGUGCCAGCAGCCGCGGUAAUACGGAGGAUCCAAGCGUUAUCCGGAUUUAUUGGGUUUAAAGGGUGCGUAGGCGGCCUGUUAAGUCAGGGGUGAAAGACGGUGGCUCAACCAUCGCAGUGCCCUUGAUACUGAUGGGCUUGAAUGGACUAGAGGUAGGCGGAAUGUGACAAGUAGCGGUGAAAUGCAUAGAUAUGUCACAGAACACCAAUUGCGAAGGCAGCUCACUAAGGCGAUACUGACGCUGAGGCACGAAAGCGUGGGGAUCGAACAGGAUUAGAAACCCGGGUAGUCC
rnacentral:rRNA from 1 species